rnacentral:rRNA from 1 species
UUGAACGCUGGCGGCAUGCUUUACACAUGCAAGUCGAACGGCAGCGGGGGCUUCGGCCUGCCGGCGAGUGGCGAACGGGUGAGUAAUGCAUCGGAACGUACCCAGUCGUGGGGGAUAACUACGCGAAAGCGUAGCUAAUACCGCAUACGCCCUGAGGGGGAAAGCGGGGGACCUUCGGGCCUCGCGCGAUUGGAGCGGCUGAUGUCGGAUUAGCUAGUUGGUGGGGUAAAGGCCCACCAAGGCGACGAUCCGUAGCUGGUCUGAGAGGAUGAUCAGCCACACUGGAACUGAGACACGGUCCAGACUCCUACGGGAGGCAGCAGUGGGGAAUUUUGGACAAUGGGGGAAACCCUGAUCCAGCCAUUCCGCGUGAGUGAAGAAGGCCUUCGGGUUGUAAAGCUCUUUCAGCAGGAACGAAACGGUCGGCUUUAAUAAAGCCGGCUAAUGACGGUACCUGCAGAAGACGCACCGGCUCACUACGU